ACAAGGUUUCUGUAGGUGAACCUGCAGAAGGAUCAUUAGUGAAGAUUUGGGCAGGCCAUACGGACGCCAAAAAGUGUCCCUGGCCGCCUACACCCACUAUACAUCCACAAACCCGUGUGCACUGUCUUGGAGAAAGGCUUCAGAGAAGUUUUUUGUGGCCUCUCUUGGGGUCUUUCUUCGCUACAAACUCGAAUGGUUAGUAUGAACGUGGAACUUGGUUGGACCGUCACUGGCCAACAAACUAUACACAACUUUCGACAACGGAUCUCUUGGUUCUCCCAUCGAUGAAGAACGCAGCGA
rnacentral:misc_RNA from 1 species